GCCAGGUAUAGAGGCAUGUGUCUACAAUUCUUGCUCCUGGGGAGGCUGAGACUGGUGGAUUGCUUGAGCUCAGGAGUUCUGAGCUGUAGCAGUAGAUUAUAAUGAUUGGAUAUCCACACUAAAUCCAGCCACAAUAUGGUAAACCCACAGGAGCAGAGGGCUACCAUGUUGCCCAAGGAGGGGCGAACCAGCCUAGGUCAGAAACAGAGCAAGUCAAAGCUUCCAACUCAGUCAUCACUGGGAUUGGGACCAUGAGUGAACUCUGUACUUCCAGCCUGGGGAGAUAGUAGAGCCAAUCUCAA
ensembl:misc_RNA Metazoa_SRP Metazoan signal recognition particle RNA